GCUAAUACCGGAUAUUCAGCUCCUGUCGCAUGGUGGGGGUUGGAAAGUUUUGGUGGUGGAGGAUGGGCUCGCGUCCUAUCAGCUUGUUGGUGGGGGUGAUGGCCUACCAAGGCGUCGACGGGUAGCCGGCCUGAGAGGGCGACCGGCCACAUUGGGACUGAGAUACGGCCCAAACUCCUACGGGAGGCAGCAGUGGGGAAUAUUGCACAAUGGGCGGAAGCCUGAUGCAGCAACGCCGCGUGCGGGAUGACGGCCUUCGGGUUGUAAACCGCUUUCAGCAGGGACGAAGCGCAAGUGACGGUACCUGCAGAAGAAGCACCGGCUAACUACGUGCCAGCAGCCGCGGUGAUACGUAGGGUGCGAGCGUUGUCCGGAUUUAUUGGGCGUAAAGAGCUUGUAGGCGGUUGGUUGCGUCGAAAGUGCAAACUCAGGGCUUAACUCUGAGCCUGCUUUCGAUACGGGCUGACUGGAGGAAGGUAGGGGAGAAUGGAAUUCCCGGUGGAGCGGUGGAAUGCGCAGAUAUCGGGAGGAACACCAGUGGCGAAGGCGGUUCUCUGGACCUUUCCUGACGCUGAGAAGCGAAAGCGUGGGGAGCAAACAGGCUUAGAUACCCUGGUAGUCCACGCUGUAAACGGUGGGUACUAGGUGUGGGGGACAUUCCACGUUCUCUGUGCCGUAGCUAACGCAUUAAGUACCCCGCCUGGGGAGUACGGCCGCAAGGCUAAAACUCAAAGGAAUUGACGGGGCCCCGCACAAGCGGCGGAGCAUGCGGAUUAAUUCGAUGCAACGCGAAGAACCUUACCUGGGUUUGACAUAUAUCGGAAACGUUCAGAGAUGGGCGCCCCGUAAGGUCGGUAUACAGGUGGUGCAUGGCUGUCGUCAGCUCGUGUCGUGAGAUGUUGGGUUAAGUCCCGCAACGAGCGCAACCCUCGUCCAAUGUUGCCAGCGGGUUAUGCCGGGGACUCAUUGGAGACCGCCGGGGUCAACUCGGAGGAAGGUGGGGAUGACGUCAAGUCAUCAUGCCCCUUAUGUCCAGGGCUUCACGCAUGCUACAAUGGCCGGUACAAAGAGUUGCGAGCCUGUGAGGGUGAGCGAAUCUCAAAAAGCCGGUCUCAGUUCGGAUUGGGGUCUGCAACUCGACCCCAUGAAGUCGGAGUCGCUAGUAAUCGCAGAUCAGCAAC
rnacentral:rRNA from 1 species